GGAAAAUGUGCUCUGUUGCCCGGCAACAGCAUGGUCACAUUUCAGAGAGGAAACCAGGAAGUGAUCAGAUCCAUGGGGGAGAAGAAUAGUACAGGAAUGUUAGGGGUAAUGGUGGAAUAACUCUGAGACAGUCAAAGAAAUAAAACAGAAGACUUAGCCCAUAAAUAAAAUAACAAUGGCCCCCAACAAUGAAACAAUCCUAUGGGUAGGCGGGCAGCUUUCACAGCGCUGGUCAUGCCCGAAGCAGACAGGCAGGCUACACCGUCCCCCGAUGUCAGUUGUCUAAUGAUGGAUUGAACCGCUAUUUGUAUACUGCUAAAGUUCUGAUGAAUAAAGCGUUGUCUGA